UGGAAAUAAAGUUGGGUAAAACCCUUUCACCCCAAGAACAUUUUGCUGUCAUUUUCUUUGGUCACACUGAAUCCAUAGUGAACUUGCCCAGGGCUGAAACCCAUUGUCAAGACACACUGCCAUGGACUCCCAGGGGAAUUUUUUGCUCCAAAUUGAGAAGCAUGCACUACGUAAUCAAAUCCUCAGCCCACAGGGUAGGGAAUGAAGAGCACAGGGCUGAAGUGAAGGAACAGGAAGGGGACGGAACAUUUUGGGAACCAGCUGAGAGUAACCUGGCAUUUGCAGGCCCUUCCAGAGACUGCGCAAGGAGGGGGAGGAGCAGGGACAGGAGUCCCUGGAAAUAGCGCCCAUGAUUUUCUGCAAAACUAAACUUGAUACUGGGGCAGCGGGUCCAAAAUACCCGUGACCCAUGAAUUCUCCUUUUUCAUUCCCAAAAUAACAGAAAAUGUUUCCAUAAGAAUCUGGGGGCAUAUGGGUUUGUGUAAGUAAUCACUAAACCGUAAGUGUGGGAUUUGAAAACAAAUCAAUAACUCAAGAAAAAGUCAGCAAUUAUAAUCAUUGUAAACACAGUAUAACCCGAGCUAAGAGUCACUGAUUCAGGGCUCUGACUCCAGCUCUGCCAUUGCUCCUUGGAUGACACUGAACAACUCAGUUGUGUCUCACUGUCUUCAUCUGUGAAAUGGGCUGAUCCUCCAUCUCUCUCCCUCCUUUCCUCACAGGUUCCACUCAAGAGUCAGGCUGCUGCAUGUAGGCUCCAAUUGUAAAAUGGGAAUGGCUAGGAAGUAAGUGUGUGGCUAGAAUGGCCAUGGGGAUUCUCAGACUGGUCAAAUCCCAACAGCAGAAACAGAAAACAGCACUUCAAAUCUCAGUGGACCAGGAGGAAGCUUCUAAAGCACAAAGAGCCUUACUGUCUUUUCCAGCAAAGAUGGGAGCAGAGACUUUUGCCUCUCCGGGCCACACAAGUUUGGAGAGUGGACUCUUUUGGAGUCCUGAACCAAAACAAGGGGGCUGCUCCCUGCAGACCCUUGUUUGGUGGCACUUGAACUGUUGUCUACCCAUCCUUGUGAACACAACUGCCCUCCUCAACCUCUCAGCCUCUCAGCUGCCCCUUCUGAAAUUGGUAAAUGCCCGGGGUUGGGGGAAAGUAGUCCCAAGUGAUGGGCUUACCUCUCUGGGGUUCCUUUUUCUCCAAGGUCUUGGCCCUGUAAGUUUUGUUAGCUUUCCAGUGCUCUCAAGCAGAUUUACUUUAUUGUCCCACUUUUCCAGUAGUUCUCAGUAGGAAGCUUGGCUUGUAUUACACAGCCUGAUGGUCUGACAAGCUAAAUAUCCUUGUCCCAUUUAUUUGUUAAGGAUAUUCCUGGAAGCUGUUAUUUUACACUUCUGCUUACAUCCUAUUGGCCAAAUUUGAGUCAUGUGACUGUACCUAGUUGGAAAGUACGGUCUUUAUCCUGAGGGACCAUGAUCCUAGCUGAAGACUGUGGGUUUUAUGGAUUUGUGGGAGCACAGAUUCUAGGAGCUAUCACAUUAGUCCCUCAGUUAUUGGCUAUAUAAUCUGAAGCAAGUUAUAAUCUCUCUGAAUUUCUAGUCACUCAUUUGUAAGAUGGUGGUAAUAUGAUUUAUGGAUCUCAAAUGAGAUACUAAUAACCCACAUUUAUUGAGCUAAGACUUGUUAUGUGCAGGGCACUGAGCUGAAAAGUUUACACCAACUCUCCUGUUCCUUCCAACAACCUUAUGAGGUCAAUGAUCAUUUGUUCUCAUUAUGAUGAGGCGCAAAGAGGCUGGAAAACUUACACAAGAUGAUACAGACAUUUGGCUGCAGAAUAGAGAUUUGAACCCCAGACCUUCAUCACUCCAUGACCCUACCCUGUAAAUCACAAAUUCCUUUCUGUCGAAUUGUUGAGGGAAGAUGAGAGGACCAAGAUAGGACAAUGCUGGGCAGCUGAGAGAAAGGCAUGUUUAACUAGAAAAACUCAUCUCCUAAGGGCAGGUCUGGGGAUAGAAAUUACUUAGUUUGGGACCUAUGGAUUUUUUAGUUAAGUGGACCACCUAGGGCAUUGGAGAAGGAGACCGUAUAGAUAAAAGGACCCCACAGAGCAUGGAGCUCCAUGGCUCUGUUUUAUAAAUUAAUCAUUUUGUGAUACAUUUAUAAAUUUUUCUUGAAGAACAAUAUAUACCCAGAAAAUUGCUUACAUUGUUAAGUUCAUGUUCCAUGAAUUUUCAAAGUGAAUACACCUGUAACCAGCACCCAGAUCAAGAAAAAGAACAUUACCAGCUCUAGUAGCCUCCCUCAUGCCUUCCCACCCUCCCACCUGUUCCAAUCUCUACCCCUUCCAAAGCUAAUCAUUACUCUGACUUCUAACAUGAGAUUGGUUUUCCCUGUUUUUGAACUGUACGUGAAUAAGACAA